rnacentral:rRNA from 1 species
AACGAACGCUGGCGGCAGGCUUAACACAUGCAAGUCGAACGCACCUUUCGGGGUUAGUGGCAGACGGGUGAGUAACGCGUGGGAAUCUACCCUUCUCUACGGGAUAGCUCCGGGAAACUGGAAUUAAUACCGUAUACGUCCUGAGGGAGAAAGAUUUAUCGGGGAAGGAUGAGCCCGCGUUGGAUUAGCUAGUUGGUGGGGUAAAGGCCUACCACGGCGACGAUCCAUAGCUGGUCUAAGAGGAUGAUCAGCCACAUUGGGACUGGGACACGGCCCAAACUCCUACGGGAGGCAGCAGUGGGGAAUAUUGGACAACGGGCGCAAGCCUGAUCCAGCCAUGACGCGUGAGUGAUGAAGGCCGUAGGGUUGUAAAGCUCUUUCAGUGGGGACGAUAAUGACGGUACCCACAGAAGAAGCCCCGGCUAACUUCGUG